rnacentral:rRNA from 1 species
GACGAACGCUGGCGGCGUGCUUAACACAUGCAAGUCGAACGGGUCUGCCCUGUUUUUUGCGGGGUGGGUCAGUGGCGAACGGGUGAGUAACACGUGAGUAACCUGCCCCUCACUUCUGGAUAACCGCUUGAAAGGGUGGCUAAUACGGGGUGUUCUGGCUGUGCCGCAUGGUGUGGCUGGGAAAGAUUCACUUUUGUGGUGUUUUGGUGGGGGAUGGGCUCGCGGCCUAUCAGCUUGUUGGUGGGGUGAUGGCCUGCCAAGGCUUUGACGGGUAGCCGGCCUGAGAGGGUGGGCGGUCACACUGGGACUGAGAUACGGCCCAGACUCCUGCGGGAGGCAGCAGUGGGGGGUAUUGCACAAUGGGCGGAAGCCUGAUGCAGCGACGUCGCGUGAGGGAUGGAGGCCUGCGGGUUGUGAACCUCUUUCGCCGGUGAAGAAGGUCCUGCUCUUUGUGGUGGGGUUGACGGUAGCCGGGUUAUGAAGCGCCGGCUAACUACGUG